rnacentral:lncRNA from 1 species
UUUUAGUUGUAUACACAGAAACAGACUACUAAGCUUGAAGUUACACUGGACAGCAGCGGCAGCAGCCAUCGUCGGUCGUCGCCAUGAGACGAAGAAAGGUCUCUAGCGAGGCUGGUGGAUGACGCGGCGCGCGGCGCCCCUGACGCCGACGUGCUGCGCGGGCUUGUCCGCGUGCCUCUGCUGCUGGGCGCGCGGCGAGGGCGCACCGACGACGGCCCUCGGGGAUCCGAGGCUGACCGCUCUGAGCACGUCGAGGUCGUACGCGGCGGGCUUGGCUGCCUGGUGGUGGUGGUCGGGGGCGUAGAAGAGGUCGUCGGUGCCGACCAUGUCGAGCAGGUCGACGGAGUCGUCGGGGAGGAGCGCGGCGACGUCGACGUCGGCGUCGUCGGGGAGCGAGAGGAGGGCGGCGUCGUAGGCUGCCUCGUGGAGCUGGUGCUGUCGGAACCAGUGGUCCCGGAACCAGGCGGUGGUCUUGACGAGCUCCCACCACUCGGGCGAGAAGUCCUCCACCUGGCGGUACGCCGCCGGGAUGAAGAGCGGCGCGUUCGGGUUCAGCGACGACGACGCCAUGGCCAUGGUGCUCAUCCUCGGUUCUCCUUUCUACUACCUGGAACAAGCACGGCAAGAAAAGCAGUCAGCUUUAGCCUCAGCUUCGGCGCAGAGCUCGUGCUCGUGCUCGAGCUACAGCAGCAUCCCCGAUCCGAUCGUCCGAGCUCAGAUCCGGAAGGGGAAAUCGUUAGCGUCACAGAUCUGAGAAAGCUUUUCUGGUGGUGUUCGUGCUCACCUUUUCCUCGCUUGGCUCCGCUUCGCUUUGGACGUGCCGAGCGAGCGAGCGAACAGGGGGAAUAUCCCGUGCAGUUUUGGGGUGCCGUGCCGUG